ACUUAUGAGUCAUUCAUUACCGCAGAUAUAUUUAGAGUGUAAGCAAAUGCUGAGUCCCCACUGCACCCAGUUCUAGAAGCCACCCAGUUUCAGAUGCUACCAUGACGCCAUCCAGACCUCCCUGGGCAGACGGCCUUACCCAUGUGUCCUGGAGCCUCCCCUCCCCAGAGCCCUGCCCCACUAGGGACAGACAGACACAGGCUGGGGCUGUGGGUCCUCCUGCCAACACCCAUGUCCAGUGGAGAAGCAAUGACAGAAGCCAGAACUCCCACCUUCCGCUCCCCAUAAAGAAUUUGGGUCCCUGCUCCCAGAGGAUAAAGAACAAGGAAGCUUCAAUGGAGGGGAUGGGACAGGGAGCUCUGGUGGUGGGAACUGUGUGGAAUUGUACCCCUGUGAUCUUAGAGUCUUGUUAAUCAUUAUUAAUUCACUAAUAAAAAAUUAUAUUUAAAAAGCUCAAAA